UUUUGUUUCAGUUUGAAAGGUAUUUUUAAUGUUGAACAUCUUUAAAUAUUUGUUUGACAAGAGAGGGACAAUAAGAAUGACUGGAUGAUAUUUCAGGUCUCACUUGUAAAGGAAGCUACCUCGCAUCUCUUCUCUGUUCCAGUAAAUGUUUUCAUAUUAACAUGCAGUAGAAAAGUUGCACCAGAAGGAAGUCAGCACACAGCAUCCUUGAGAUGCCUGACUAGGCUGUUCCAAGAUGUGAGAACCAUGGUUGUGAUUCAUGUUUGACUUGGACUUAAACCUUCAUCAUCUACAUCCCAAACAGGAACCAACAGAAUAUGGGCUAUUACUGGGGAAAAGGAAUGCAUCACUCCCUUUUUUUUAUUGUUGCAAGUGGUACCUAAUUUUCUUUCUGAAUCAAAUCUCUAAGGCUGGAAUAUUCAUGUCUGGAAAAUGUCAGAACUAUUCUUGUCGACAUUUCCAUUUCUUCAUUUUUUGUUUCAGCCAACAUCAUUUGCUGAAUUCACCUUAAAUUCAAAAAGUGUUCUGACCAGGCACAUAUGGCCUAUUUUUUUAUUGAAGGAAGGAAGCAAGCAAGCAAGCAAGAAUGAUCCAGUUCUGUUCCAGAAAAAGGCAUUUUACAGAUGUUGUAUGUGUGAAACAGGUUAAGGAAUGUCAUAGGAACCAUGAGAUGAGUUUUCCCUUCACUGCAACAUAUAGCCUAUUUUAACAGCAUACCCAACUACUGGAGAAUGAAAUUCAUCUCUGUGUAGAAAAUUGCACUUAAACUCUCAAAACAAGGCUUAAAAGACAUAAAUGGUUGUCUGUACUUCUUCCUGUUUUAUCUUUUAUAUCUUCUUUUUAUAGCUUUGCCUGAAUCGAGCUGAAAUUCCUCCCAAGAGGUUUGGAUAAAUAUGGAUACUCUCCUAAAGCUGCAGAGAUGCAACAUCUAAGCAGAACAAUAUUUGUUUUAACAAAGAUUUCUUUCGAACAGAGAAAUUCCUCUGGAGCCUGCCCAUUGCAGCCUCAUUUGCAGAAGUGCCCUCAGUGUGUAGGAUACUUUCUGGCUUGGGAUAUGGUACGGUAGUGAUAUCACCUCUAUGACUGAAGUGUGUCAGAUCCAAAGUGGAUAGUAACUUCAUAGUAUGGGCCCAUUAUAUGCAACACAGG